AAGGAUCAACAAACAUCAGCAAAAUAUUAUGAACGCCUGUUUAAAUACAUCAUUGGCUAAGAGAUUUUACAAAUAUGAUCUAGACAUAAAUUAGAAACAAGCAGGAAUUAUAAGAAUAUAUUUUGAGCACAAACAUAUGUAUCUGCAGGAAACAUUGAUUAUAGCAGAAAAUACACACAAAUGUCACAAAUGAGCAAGUUAGUAUGUCGUUCUCCAGUGUGUGGAGUAGUGAUGUUGCGGAUAUUCGCAUCCGCAAUUGCGGAGCUUCCGCAUCGAUAGCGACAUUCGCAUCCGCAUCCGCAAUUAUCAAUGCGGAUGUUCAUGUGGAUGCAGAUGUAGCGCAAGUCGUGACAAGAAAAAAAUUGGGUGGGCCGGCGAGUGACGCGUGCCGUGGACACGUGCUGAUUGACCAAUAGGAGCGAAGAUUUCGGCGACAAGAUCCGACGCGUUUGUUAUUGUUUAUCAUUUGUUUCUCGUAAAUCUAUCAUAACGUGUUUAGUUGCGCUUAUCGUAUGAACAUUUCAGUUUUUGCGUGUUAUUGUGAGUAUACAGUGAGGAUUGUGUGUUAAGCAAGUUUUCUGCAGUUAAUAAUUUAUUGGACAAGUGAAUUUACAAUGUCACCACCAACACAAAGUGAGAUUUGGACUUAUUUUAAACCAGAUGAACAUGACCAGGAUAAGGCUCAUU
rnacentral:lncRNA from 1 species